CUACNAUGCAGUCGAGCGGAACGACAUUAUUGAUUCUUCGGAUGAUUUAAUGGGCGUCGAGCGGCGGACGGGUGAGUAAUGCCUAGGAAAUUGCCUUGAUGUGGGGGAUAACCAUUGGAAACGAUGGCUAAUACCGCAUAAUGCCUACGGGCCAAAGAGGGGGACCUUCGGACCUCUCGCGUCAAGAUAUGCCUAGGUGGGAUUAGCUAGUUGGUGAGGUAAUGGCUCACCAAGGCGACGAUCCCUAGCUGGUCUGAGAGGAUGAUCAGCCACACUGGAACUGAGACACGGUCCAGACUCCUACGGGAGGCAGCAGUGGGGAAUAUUGCACAAUGGGCGAAAGCCUGAUGCAGCCAUGCCGCGUGUAUGAAGAAGGCCUUCGGGUUGUAAAGUACUUUCAGUUGUGAGGAAGGGUGUGUAGUUAAUAGUCUGCGCAUCUUGACGUUAGCAACAGAAGAAGCACCGGCUAACUCCGUGCCAGCAACCNCGGUAAUACUCGACGGU
rnacentral:rRNA from 1 species